rnacentral:lncRNA from 1 species
GGAGCAAUAAUCCUGUAUUUUAUUAUAUAUUUAAUUAAAAACAACCAGAUAAAUAGUAAAAGAAAAUACUACUCUAUUAUAUUACGCGCCAGGACCCGUUCAGAGUGUCUUCUGGGCAGCCGAGAGGUUUAACAGAACCCUAACCCUAGAAUUUGAAUUCUUCCCGUCACAAUUCUGAGAUCAAUCAGUAAGUCAUUAGCAAUUUUAUUACGUAUUUAUCAAUGUUCUCUGCUCCAAAUAUUUAAAGUUAUUUUUUGGGGCUGUAAAUUAAGUUGUGUUUGCUAGUAUACAGUAAUGGAGUUCGUGAGCCCGGAAGGUCUUCGUUUGGAUGGACGCCGUCCAAUGGAGGUACCCCCUCCCUCCCUCCCUCCCUCUCUCU